rnacentral:rRNA from 1 species
GGAUGCGAUCAUACCAGCACUAAAGCACCGGAUCCCAUCAAAACUCCGAAGUUAUGCGUGCUUGGGCGAGAGUUGUACUAGGAUGGGUGACCUCCUGGGAAGUCCUCGUGUUGCAUUCC